GGCGUGCCGCGGCAGGCGGUCACUGUCGCCACACGCGCCCCUUCUGGCCAGCGCCCCCGGCCUGGGAGGGAGCACGGCGCCCCACCCCGCGAUUGCCGUGCUUUGGAAGGGACUGUUUCCCUGAACCCGUUCCCCCAACAGCCGCUAACUCCUCCCGCUAACGUCUUUUGAGCGGCCCGCUCCUGAGAACCUUGGCUCGGGAGAGCGACGCGGGGCCCUCGGGGCUGCGCAGGCCGCGGCGCCCUGCCCACGCCGGCCCGAGGGCGCGGCUCGCUCCCUUUCUCCGGCUCACACACCUACACUUCCUCCCAGACAGCAGCCGAGGAGCGGCGGAGUGGCCCCAGGUUUGACCCGAGGGCCUCCUAGUCCUCGGUGACGGCGGGCCAUCGGUCAUUUGGGGCCUUAGAGCACCGGAGGCUGCGCUUCGCCUGCCUGGCUCCCGGCGCCGUGGCCCAGUGAGGCGGGAAAGGAGAUUUGGGCUUUGAGGGUCGCAUGUGGUGCUCGAGGUCCCCUCGAGAGGUCUUCCCGGACGUGUUCCUGCUGAUACGGGGUAAAGCCAAUCCCGGAACGCCAAGAUUGUGGCCCAGGAAGAGGAAGGAACGCUGGCGGCUGCGAUGGGGCCUGGGACAUUGAGGGGAACCGUGGAGAGGCACCGAACUGGGAUCCCUGAGCGGGCGG
rnacentral:lncRNA from 1 species